UGGCUAGGUCGUGGUGCUACAUCAUCGGGCCGACAAAAUAUGGCCCAAUAGAUGGAGUUGAGUUAUUUUUUUCUUGGGUAUAAAAUAGUUGAUUCUCAUUUGAGCAAUAGUAACAAUAAGGCAACAAAAUAAGGAUGGGAGCAAACAUCAUGAUGAGGAUGGGAUAUCAGCCAGCCAUAAAUAAUUGUGACAGUAGUUGAUGGU
rnacentral:lncRNA from 1 species